UACGGGGGGAGCACGCGUUGUUCGGAUUUACUGGGCGUAAAGGGCGCGUAGGCGGCCAGCGCAAGUCAGUUGUGAAAUCUCCGGGCUUAACUCGGAACGGUCAACUGAUACUGCGCGGCUAGAGUGCAGAAGGGGCAACUGGAAUUCUCGGUGUAGCGGUGAAAUGCGUAGAUAUCGAGAGGAACACCUGCGGCGAAGGCGGGUUGCUGGGCUGACACUGACGCUGAUGCGCGAAAGCCAGGGGAGCGAACGGG
rnacentral:rRNA from 1 species